UGAUAGCGGCGCUAGCCGGGAUCUUGGCCGGCACAGAACUGGGGGCGGAAUCGCGCGGGGCCUGAAGGGAGGGGUUUGGGCGCGGGAGCCGGGCAGGAGAAGACGGAAGUGGAGCGAGGACAAAAUGGCUGCGAAGGUUGUUGCUCCCCUCCCCCACCCACGUCCGAAUCCUCCUUUCCAUGCCCCACCUUCGUGUUCCAGACGGGCCUCUAAGUGCCCCGGGUUUCGCGAAUCUGUAUUUCAUAGCGUGGCUUUGGACAAGGGCUGACCCCGAGGGGCUGGGGCGAAGGUUCCGGCUUCAGGGUGCCACUAGGGCUGCUCGCUCACGGCCCCCCAGGAUUGGGAUUGGAGGGAGCCGCCAGGCCGCCGCGGGGUGGGGCGGGUUAGCUCGGCAGGCCUCCCAGCACCUGCAUUUCCCUACGGCAACUGUCGGGAGGCAGCCCCCGACGCAGAGGUUUAAGGGGCCCGGCUUUUCAGAACCGCCUCAGGACGCGGUCGUGUCUGGAUCCCUCCGCGGAAAAGAAGGCGAAACCGCUUCUCUGAGCCCUGACCGUUAGGCCCCUUCCCACCUCCGUCUAGAACAGAUUCGGCUUCUUGGCUCAGUCCUUCCCCAACUAGCCCAAGCCCUACAUUUCCC
rnacentral:lncRNA from 1 species